AAACCAUAUGAAACCUACAAUGAACCCGCCAGACACCAAAUGUGUGUUGAUCCGGGCAAUAUUUGUGGCUGCAUUUUGUACUUUAUGUGUAGUAACAUGCCCAAAGGACCAUUUCCAAGUCCAAGAAUCGCUGUGCUGCUUGAACUGCGAAGAAGGUAUGUAUGUUGUCCAGAACUGCUCUAGAGGACCUACAGAGUACACUGGUGCUGUAUGUCAGCCAUGCCGCAUAUGUGAAGAACUUGGAGAGAUAACUGUUUCCCAGUGCAUGCAGUUUUCAGACACACGGUGUGCCAGUAA